rnacentral:rRNA from 1 species
CACUCUAGAGAGACUGCCAGGGAUAACCUGGAGGAAGGUGGGGAUGACGUCAAAUCAUCAUGCCCCUUAUGCUUAGGGCUACACACGUGCUACAAUGGGUAGUACAGAGGGUUGCCAAGCCGUAAGGUGGAGCUAAUCCCUUAAAGCUACUCUCAGUUCGGAUUGUAGGCUGAAACUCGCAUCCAUGAAGCUUGAGUUACUAGGAAUCGCAGAUCGGAAUGCUGCGGUGAAUGCGUUCCCGGGUCUUGUACACCCCGCCCGUCACACCACGGGAGUUGGAGACGCCCGAAGCCGAUUAUCUAACCUUUUGGAAGAAGUCGUCGAAGGUGGAAUCAAUAACUGGGGUGAAGUCGUAACAAGGUAGCCGUAUCGGAAGGUGCGGCUGGAUCACCUCCUUUCUAAGGAGA